UGUUGGUGAGGUAACGGCUUACCAAGGCGACGAUCUGUAGCGGGUCUGAGAGGAUGAUCCGCCACACUGGAACUGAGACACGGUCCAGACUCCUACGGGAGGCAGCAGUGGGGAAUUUUGGACAAUGGGGGCAACCCUGAUCCAGCCAUGCCGCGUGAGUGAAGAAGGCCUUCGGGUUGUAAAGCUCUUUCGGCCGGGAAGAAAUCGCAUGGGCCAAUACCCUGUGUGGAUGACGGUACCGGAAUAAGAAGCACCGGCUAACUACGUGCCAGCAGCCGCGGUAAUACGUAGGGUGCGAGCGUUAAUCGGAAUUACUGGGCGUAAAGCGUGCGCAGGCGGUUUUGUAAGACAGGCGUGAAAUCCCCGGGCUCAACCUGGGAACUGCGUUUGUGACUGCAAGGCUAGAGUACGGCAGAGGGGGGUGGAAUUCCACGUGUAGCAGUGAAAUGCGUAGAGAUGUGGAGGAACACCAAUGGCGAAGGCAGCCCCCUGGGUCGAUACUGACGCUCAUGCACGAAAGCGUGGGUAGCAAACAGGAUUAGAUACCCUGGUAGUCCACGCCCUAAACUAUGUCAACUAGGUGUUGGGUGGGUAAAACCAUUUAGUACCGUAGCUAACGCGUGAAGUUGACCGCCUGGGGAGUACGGCCGCAAGGUUAAAACUCAAAGGAAUUGACGGGGACCCGCACAAGCGGUGGAUGAUGUGGAUUAAUUCGAUGCAACGCGAAAAACCUUACCUACCCUUGACAUGCCAGGAACUUGCCAGAGAUGGCUUGGUGCCCGAAAGGGAGCCUGGACACAGGUGCUGCAUGGCUGUCGUCAGCACGUGUCGUGAGAUGUUGGGUUAAGUCCCGCAACGAGCGCAACCCUUGUCGUUAAUUGCCAUCAUUUAGUUGGGCACUUUAGCGAGACUGCCGGUGACAAACCGGAGGAAGGUGGGGAUGACGUCAAGUCCUCAUGGCCCUUAUGGGUAGGGCUUCACACGUCAUACAAUGGUCGGUACAGAGGGUCGCCAAGCCGCGAGGUGGAGCCAAUCCCAGAAAGCCGAUCGUAGUCCGGAUUGCAGGCUGCAACUCGCCUGCAUGAAGUCGGAAUCGCUAGUAAUCGUGGAUCAGCAUGUCACGGUGAAUACGUUCCCGGGUCUUGUACACACCGCCCGUCACACCAUGGGAGCGGGUUCCGCCAGAAGUAGGUAGCCUAACCGCAAGGAGGGCGCUUACCACGGCGGGGUUCGUGACUGGGGUGAAGUCGUAACAAGGUAGCCGUAGGGGAACCUGCGGCUG
rnacentral:rRNA from 1 species